GCCUCUAUAGCUCAGUUGGUUAGAGUGCUGCACCGGAAUCGCAGGGCCGCAGGUCCAAUCCCUGCCAGAGGGC
rnacentral:tRNA from 1 species